AGCGAAGGGAGUUCUUCAAAUCCGCCUAGACUAGAAAGCUUUUCACAGAAACUUAAAUUAAGAAUCUUCAGUGUUCCAAGCAGCCUUUUGUCUUUUGAGCACGAUCCAAAUAACCACUGAAUUGGAUAUAAGUUAGAAUUCUAGUAAUUUUCAUCAACUGAACAUGGAAGAAUAAUAAAUGGAUAUUAGUUACCUUUUGCCAAUUCUGAAGUCGUGUAUUGCUAUAACAAACACCAAAUGAUUCAAUAUUGCUGUAUGACAUGUCAAGAGAAACCAAA
rnacentral:lncRNA from 1 species